GGAUAGCUCGGUUGGCAGAGCGUGAGACUCUUAAGCUCAGGGCGGUGGGUUCGAGCUCUGCGUUGGGCA